rnacentral:rRNA from 1 species
CAAUAGCGUAUAUUAAAGUUGUUGCGGUUAAAAAGCCCGUAGUUGGAGUUCUGCCAGGUGCCGCCUGUCCGCCCCAGUGGUGAGUACGUGGCGCGCAUUUGGCCCUUUCAAGGGGAGCGUAUCUGCACUUUAUUGUGUGGUGCGGGAUCCUUGACUUUUACUUUGAGGAAAUAGGAGUGUUCCAAGCAGGCUCUCGUCGUGCACAGCUCAGCAUGGAAUAAUAGCAUUGGACCUCGAUUCUAAGCUGUUGGUUGCCAGAAGCGAGGUAAUGAUGAAGAGGGAUAGUUGGGGGCAUUCGUAUUUAACUGUCGGAGGUGAAAUUCUUGGAUUUGUUAAAGACGGACUACUGCGAAAGCAUCUGCCAUGGAUGUUUUCGUUGA